AUUCCUUUGAUAACUAUGUAAGUUUAAAAAGCUAAAGCUCUAAAUGUUCUUAGAAACAAUGAACAGUACAUAUAUGUAAAUUUUAAAAAUAUGUGCAGUAUGUUGUGUAUAUGUAUUUACAUGCGAUACAUUAUAUAUGUGCUAAGUGUAACAAUUAUG